GCAGCUGUGGCCUACUGGUUAGGGCUUCGGGCUUGAAACCGAAAGGUUUGCCACUUGCCGGUUCGAUCCCAGACCAGUAGGA
rnacentral:tRNA from 1 species